rnacentral:rRNA from 1 species
CAGUCGCCGCGGUAAUACGAAGGGGGCUAGCGUUGUUCGGAUUAACUGGGCGUAAAGGGCGCGUAGGCGGGUCUUUAAGUCAGAGGUGAAAUCCCAAGGCUCAACCUUGGAACUGCCUUUGAUACUGGAAGUCUUGAGUCCGGGAGAGGUGAGUGGAACUGCGAGUGUAGAGGUGAAAUUCGUAGAUAUUCGCAAGAACACCAGUGGCGAAGGCGGCUCACUGGCCCGGUACUGACGCUGAGGCGCGGAAGCGUGGGGAGCAAACAGGAUUAGAUACCCCAGUAGUCCCUGUCUCUUAUAU